GACCGCUCCGGUGGCCUAGUGGUUAGGGCGUCCGUCUUGUAUGCGGAAAGUCGCAUGUUCGGACACUUGCUGGGUCA